rnacentral:Y_RNA from 1 species
GGCUGGCCCAAGUGCAAUAGUAUUUACAACUAAUUGAUCACAACCAGUUACAGAUUUCUUUGUUCCUUUUCCAGUUCACUGCCAGACUGGACUAGCCUUAA